UACGUAGGGGGGCAAGCGUUGUCCGGAUUUAUUGGGCGUAAAGAGCUCGUAGGCGGUCUGUCGCGUCGGCUGUGAAAACCCCGGGGCUCAACCCCGGGCCUGCAGUCGAUACGGGCAGACUAGAGUGCGGUAGGGGAGACUGGAAUUCCUGGUGUAGCGGUGAAAUGCGCAGAUAUCAGGAGGAACACCGGUGGCGAAGGCGGGUCUCUGGGCCGUAACUGACGCUGAGGAGCGAAAGCGUGGGGAGCGAACAGG
rnacentral:rRNA from 1 species